rnacentral:lncRNA from 1 species
UUAAAGAGCUGAGAGAUGAAUUACAAGAUGCAUGCAAUUUAAAAAACAGUGAAACGUGUAAGUUGUUUUCAAGAAUAAUUUAAUUUUUCAAAUUAUUAUGUUCUAAAUCAAUUUGAAUGAUUGUAUAUGUUGUUUGAGGGGUAAGAAAAAACAAACAAGCCACAUAUUUUAUAAUAAAGUUAAUAACAUGACACAUUCGAUAACUUUUUACCACAUGCAGUGAACUCACUCUCAUAAGC